CAGUCUAUUAUAGUUAGUUAUCGUCAAUGAAGUGGUUGUGUCACGACUAGUUAAAGAGCUGUGGUUGUCCGUAGCGAGCAUUCGCGAUACAAGCGCAUACUGCAUCACACUGCACUGUUGCGUAACUUGCUGAAACAAAUAUUUGAAUUACAAGAUGCCUUGUGGAGGCUGCGGUGAUAACUGCAAAUGCACGGGUAGCCAGUGCUGCUCGUCUUGUAAGUGCGAUGCGUCGUGCACCUGCGCCUGCAAGCGGCCUGCCUCCGACAAGCCUGCUUCUACCACCAAGAAGUAGACCUUAACACUCCAACAUUACUCCAAAAUAUAACUAGAAACUACCGUAGGCUCUGCACGCUAACCACGCCGCGCACAGCGCGAAUUACAUCGAGUGUUUCUACCAAUAGACGCAGCGAAUGCUAUCUACGUAGAUAAACGUCGAACAACUAUUGGUCAAAGCCGUCGAUAUAAUUCGCGCCGCGCGGCUGUUUCUGUGCUAUAGGGCGCACACAAACUUAACCCAAUUUUAGUUUGACAGCUCUUAAACUAGUGUCGUCUUUCACUUACAAUAAGUGCAAGAAAGAGAUAGAGCUAGUUUUAUUCCUGUCAAAUUAUGUUAAAAUUAAUUUACUGGUUGCCCGAAUCGGCACCAUUGUUUUGUUUAAAUUAGGUUUCUUUCAUCAUACUCGUUUUCAAAAAUAAAAAAGCUUGUUGCAACUGUGAUCCCGGGCUAGAUAGAUCCUUCAGCGCCCCCUAUUUGUUUUGCCAAGUACCGAGUCGCAUCCGAGACAAAUAUAAUAAGUAAGUCACGUUAAAAAAACAUACUUUGAACCUUGCGAUUCAGUUAAAAACGUCGUAAAAAUGUCAGCAAGUACACGAAUAUACUUACAAUUGUAUUUGUCAUAGGUAUGUAUUGAGCAGAGUGAUUCAAACGCCUGAGUAGUCUUUGUUAGUUUAUGGUCUCUAGGCAAUCGAGUAAUGUUGGACACAUGAGGCAAUAUAUACCUUACUGACUGUAAUAAAUUGUUUCUACACCAAAACAUUAGAGGUACGAAACAAUAUAUUGUUAUUAUUCCUAGCCUAUAAUGUUACUGUUCUAUUCCUAAGUACUUACACAGGUAAACAGCCUAUAUUGUAUUCAUUUUUGCUCCGUUUUCCUCUAAGUAUAAAUAAUAUAGGCAUAGUAGAUACUUAUUGGUUAAAAAAUAACAAUAAUAUGUCAUUAUAUUGCUUACCUAUAUGUAAUGUUGUUUUUUAAUAAAUUAAUACGCGUGUUUACUUCAUCUAUGUUUAUUGCAAUAUAAAUGUUAUGAUGUUAUUUUCUGAUGCUGUUAUGUAUUUUCGACCUGUUGUUUUGAAUUUGACAUUAAAUAUACUUGUUCUAAUAAA